rnacentral:tRNA from 1 species
UGGGGGAUCGUCUAGCGGCAAGACUACGGACUCUGACUCCGUCAACCCAGGUUCGAAUCCUGGUCCCCCAGCCA